GACGAACGCUGGCGGCGUGCCUAAUACAUGCAAGUUGAGCGCUGAAGGUUGGUACUUGUACCAACUGGAUGAGCAGCGAACGGGUGAGUAACGCGCGGGGAAUCUGCCUUUGAGCGGGGGACAACAUUUGGAAACGAAUGCUAAUACCGCAUAAAAACUUUAAACACAAGUUUUAAGUUUGAAAGAUGCAAUUGCAUCACUCAAAGAUGAUCCCGCGUUGUAUUAGCUAGUUGGUGAGGUAAAGGCUCACCAAGGCGAUGAUGCAUAGCCGACCUGAGAGGGUGAUCGGCCACAUUGGGACUGAGACACGGCCCAAACUCCUACGGGAGGCAGCAGUAGGGAAUCUUCGGCAAUGGACGAAAGUCUGACCGAGCAACGCCGCGUGAGUGAAGAAGGUUUUCGGAUCGUAAAACUCUGUUGGUAGAGAAGAACGUUGGUGAGAGUGGAAAGCUCAUCAAGUGACGGUAACUACCCAGAAAGGGACGGCUAACUACGUG
rnacentral:rRNA from 1 species